GAUGACACCGACAAUCUUAUAUUCGGUCAUCGUAGAACCGAUGUCCCGCAGCUAUAAAUAGGCCCCUGGAGGUGCAUCGUAGCUCACACAAGCUCUCUGGCAGCCGUAGAAAACCUCCCUUUCCUCCAUUUCGACCGGAGUCGUCGUCUUCUCUGUCUCCGGUCAAACUUCGGCCGCUACCACUCCGACCAAAUUCGUGGCCAGCUGUGCCCCUCCGGCACCGUUUUUCCUUGGAAUGGAAUCGGGUGAGUAUGGUGAUCGUUUUCCCCCUCUGUGGUGAGCUCAAGGUAGACCGUGGGCGAAGCCCCUGGCAGGCCCGCGCCGCCGUCCGCCGGCUCUGUAGCUACCAGAGCUCCCUCGCUCCCCGGAGGCCGUGACACCCCUCCCCAGAGUCACCUUGGAGCCCUGAGCACGAGGAUGCCCUUGGAUACGAGGUUGAUGGCCCAGUCACCGGCGAACCUCACCGGAGUCCCCAUCUCCCCUCGGCCAGAGGAGGGAGAAGACCGGUUUGACCGAGUCAAGCCUGCCUGUGGGCCCCGGGCGUGAGCGACACGACCAGGCCAACACCCGCGUAAGUGUUGACGCCUUCGGUCAAGUACGCCUCCCCCUUGCGCUUACGUAUUCAGCACCGAAUCGUUUUCCUUUUUUUGUUUUAAUUUUAAAAAUAGAACUUUGACCCAACUUUGACUGGCUCUAACUCCUAAAAUAAUAGUCCAAAUGAGUUGAUUCUUUUUCUCACCUCUUCCAAAUUUCAUCUAGUUUAUUUUAGUGUUUAUUUGAUAAUUUUCUAAAACAAUUUUAUGUACUGUUUUGUAUUUGUGUGUUAAUUAGUAUAUUUUCAAAAUAUAGGCUAUGUUGAGAGGAGCAGAAAACUUGCGAAAGUUUUGAAGUGAAACCCUACCUCUCUACACUUGGAAGGAAAGCAUCCUAAACCUUGACAUGUGUUGGUUAUGUGCGUUUUUGUUUCUUAAAACAAACACUAUGGUUAUGUUAGUAUUGACGGUAUUUCAUUUGAUGAUCGUGCAUAUGGCUUUAUGUGUGAAAGUAUGAUGAUUGCAUGAGUGAGAUGGGUAAGUUAGAAGUCAUAUAUUUCUGCCACACAUGCCACACAUGAAGAGAGUCGGUGUAUCGGGGAGAUAUGACUAUGGGAUUGACAUCUGGUGGGACGAGUAUGGUCAGCGAGGCAUGAGGGGCAUGAUAGGUAGUAACUCUGUCCAUGGUGGUGAAAUCCUUUUAUUUUCCUAAUCAUGCGGGGAAUAACUUAAACCUCCCGAGUUGACCGUAGAUCGAGUCUUGUCAGUAUGUCACCUUAACCCAUUAGUGCUGCCACGAUCUUCCCGAAAGGGGAUAUGGUUCAGUAGGUCGUAAACCUAUUAUCAGGUACACACCAAGUAGAGGGGCCAGGAUGAAGGUAUCCACGGCCAUGGACCAAAUCCAGUCAUCCGGUCAAGGGGCAUGGGUGUUUCCGGUCUGGGACCGAGAGGGGAAGAGCUCUCCCCUAGUAGCGUGCGGUAUAAAUUUGAUCCCAUGCUAGUCGAGGUUGGAGCCUCCCCGUAUUAGGGUUCUUCGCUGGCAGCGUAGUUCGAGUGAUAUCGGUCUUCGCGGGAGAAGAAUGGGUGUGUAAUGGUUCUGAGUGUUUACUUCUAAAAUACCAUACGCGGGAUUAGUCCGAGUAACUAUCUAAACCCGUGGGUUGUGGGUAAAGAGUACACCCUCUGCAGGGUCAAAACUAUUCGAGUAGCCGUGUCCACGGUCAAGGACGACUGAUUGACUAGUCAAGUGUCGGUUUGAGUGUCGGUCUUUGUAGGUAGUUAAAGAAUUGUGAGAUAAUCAGGAAAUAUGGUGGAUGAUUAUAAACAUUAUUUUCUGUGGACUAAACCCUAUGAUUAUGAUUGUUGAAUAUUCCUGGGACGGUUCUACCUGCUGGAUAUUCUUUAUUUAUUAUCAUUUCAUAUAAGCCCUUUAUGAGGUUUUGCUGAGAUGCCCGACUUCGGCAUGUUUAUUAGUUCAUAUAAGCCCUUUAUGUGGUGUCGCUUAGACGUCCGACUGCGGCAUGUUCAUUAUUUCGUAUAACCCCUUUAUGUGGUGUCGCUUAGACACUCGACUAUGGCAUGUUCGUUAUUAUUUUAUUCAAGCCCCGUAUGUGGUGUCGCUCAGACACUCGACGGAGGCAUGUUUUAUAUCACAUACGUAAAUUUUACUCUUGUUGAUUGUUGUCACAUCCCUAGCUACCCUUGAUGAUUAGCAAGAUUGUGCUCAUAUUUUCAUUCUUGCAUUAAAAGUGAAAAUGGAUAUAAAAGAGAAAAACCCUAGCAACUCUAUAUUCAAAACAAUUCAAACUUGUGACAAAUCAAUGAACCCAAAAUGGCCUUCAUAAAAUUCCAUCAUUUUUGAUAAAUAUUGGAAACAACAAUUGAGGGGUGGAAUUAUUUAAAAAAAUACUUUUGGCAUUUUAUUUUAAACACAAAAGCCACUGAAAUCAACUAUAUAUUUGAUUUCAAAUAUUUCAGAGUUUCAUAAAAUGUUGAAUGUUUUAUAUGGGGUUGGGAAUAUUCCAAAUAACACCUCAGCGUUAUUUAUACUAUUUUACAAUUAGUUUAGAGCCAAAAAAUGAAAUGAAACAAAUGUUAGGAAGAAUAAAACAGAAAAUAGAAAAGAAAGAAAAGAGAAAACGCUUACCUGUCGCUCACCUGGCCCAAGCCCAUCCCCUUGCUGUCGUCUUCCUCUUGAUAGUCGGCACCACGAGGUGGCCGCCGCCUCCUCCGACGAGGCCACGCACCUGCGUGCCUGCGUCGACCCUCCCCGCCACACUGGCAUGGAGGGAUAAGCCUCCCGCACUCGUUCCCAUCCUCUCCCCCUCCUCACUCGCCCCCCUACGCCUCUCUCUCUCUCGGCCGCCAUUGGAGCGAGCUCGAGCUCGAGCUCGCCAUCAUCUCUGGCCUCCUCGAGCCUCUCUGAGCAUGUCGUUCGCUCCGCCUCAUCGAGCUUGUCAUCCCUGCCAAAGGAGAAGAACCCCCGAGCCCUACAUCGCCAGAUAGCCGUCGUCUUCUUCCUCGGGUCGCCGUUGAUCGCCGCCGUUGUUCUCCCUCUCCAAGCCGUCCCCGAGCAUGCUUUAGACGCCUCUGCAAUCCCCGUGAGCCCAAGGUGCUUUCCCCCUUGUUUCCUCCCUCGAUCCCUUGCCCCAGGCCCCGAUUCCAUCGGAGCCCGAAGAGAUCUGCCGCGGGAGCUCGUCGCCGGUGAUGCUCCGAUGAUCGGUUCAUCAUAGGAGCCAAUCCCUGAUCCAUUUGCCCCCUAUAUCGAUGACCUCGACAUUUCCCGAGCUCCGGCAACUGCCGAACUCAUCGCCGACGUUAGCUCUGGCCGUUUCAGCCCGUGAGACUAGCAAAAAUGGAUGCGCCAUCGAAUGGCUGUUCCCCUGUGCCCUUCGCCUUCCUUUUGGUUGCCAGAGGAGCAAUCCUGAAGCCCUCCGCCAUCCCCGGAGUCACCGGAGGCUCGCGCCGGUGGGUUUGCCCCAUCGCCGGUUGGUUUGACCCCUAGGUCUAUGACAGGUGGGGCCAGCCCCCUGAGUAAUUAACUUUAGGUUAAUAAAAAUAAAUGAUUAAUUAAAACCCUAAACAGUCAUUGACAAGUGGGCCAGCCCCUAUUAAAUAACACAUUAAUUUAAAGCUUAACUGGAAUUUGACCAGAGUCACUGACUAGUGGGUCCCACUGGUCAGGUUUGACUUUCAACGGCCACUUGGACCUGCUGAUGUCAUGCUGAUGCAUUAAUACUAAUUCUGUAUAAUAAUAAUUCCGGAAGAAGUGCAAAACUUUGGAAUUAAAUAUAACUCCAAAUUUGACAAAUAAUAUAUGCAAAUUGAUUAGUAAAAUUCGAUGAACACAAUGGUGCUACUUUCAUGCAUGACAAACAAAGUUAUGAAACAACAUCAGGUCAAAUAAAUUAAAUGAAUAUGAUAAAUAUAUGAUUUCAACUAAUAUUUGAAUUUGAAUUCAAAUCACCAUCAUCCUAAAAGUUUGAUAGCCACACUAGCUCCUGCUACAUUUCAUUUCAUUCCAAGAUCAUGCAUCAUAUUUUGCAUAUGAAUGGUAUUGAUUGUUGUUAUUAUUUCGGUAGGAUCUGCCCUUCCAGAUACGUCUGAUUUUUCGACUGACAGAUUUAAUCCCCUCUGUUGAGCAACAAGGGAAGCACCCUUUUGAUCAUCCCGAUAUAACCCCAUGUACUUGCUCCUGCUCCCACUUAUUGCAUUAGGACAAAGUAUUUCAAAUAAUUUACUUCGGUAGCUGAACCUAUUCCUUUGCAUGACUUGUCAUUGUUACAGUAAAUAGCCAAACCUUGCAACCUAGCAUACCUGGUAGUUGCUUGAGCCAUGGUGUGCUUUUCCUGCUAUGCUUGCUAUGCCAAGAGUUGUGUCAGGUCUGUUUCAUAUGGGUGAUGAACAUGAAUGGAUGAAUGUGUUCUAGUGACUAAGAAUAAGUGUGGAACCUGAUUUGGUAAAGGUACCAAUGAAAGGCUAUGUAGGAGUACAUGCCUCGUUGUUUCAUUGGAACCGUCCUUAGGAACUGAGUUCCGUGUAUGUAAUCCAAGACGUGUUACUACGACAUGCUGGGCCAUAAAAUAUGACCCCGCUCGACUUAUUAAUCGCCUAGUACUCGGUCCAGGAGUUGCAAGUAGUUUCUGCUGUUUAUAGUCAUGCUGGAGGCCGUGCAUAGUGCUGACCUUAGAAGUGGGCUAUGAUGCGGUAGGCAGUGGCACGGUGUACCAAGUGGCACCCGGAUGGUGGGCUUGGGAACCCUGCGCACAUCGUUUGGUGCCCUGGCGGAAACCUCGUCCGGACUUCUGUGCGGGUUCACCCUCAAAUAAGCGAUGGACGUGGACUAGGUAUUAGUGUGGUUAACGGUCGUGGCCGACUCCCUUGCUGGGCUUCCGCUUGAAGGUUCCGAGGUGCAUGUCGUGCACAUAGCGAUAAGUGGCGAGAGUGUGUGUGAAGAAGUACACCCCUGCAGGGUUAUGAUCUAUUCGAAUAGUCGCAUCCGCGGAUAUGGACUACUUGGAGACAUAUGUUGUUCAUAGAUAACUUUAAUGGCUACUCAUAAAAGUAUCAAGAUAAGCGUGAGUAUAAUGUAUGGCAUUUCCGUAGGGAGAAAGAAAGGAGUUCAUGAUAGUGUAUUGUUGUGGUGGUAGUGGACUCGUGUACGACUUAUCAAAGUUGUUAAAACUAUUUAAAAUUGUAGUCUAGUCUAGCCAAGAGUCAAAGUUGGCUUGCUGCAUGAAACACCACAACCCCCUUUGUUCAUACAUGUGCAUGAGUAGAUAGAUAUGUUCUAAAGUCUUGCUGGGUACUUUUGUACUCAUGUUUGCUUAAUAAAUGUUGCAGAGGAUACCCACGAGCCAACAGGUGGGUUCUUUCUAGACAUCGAUGAUGACGAAUAGCUGGUGUCGCAGCUACGACCUGGCCCCUUUCCGAAGGGAUCUGUAGAUAGUCAGGCUUUAUGCCUUUUCCCUUUCAUCUGUCUGUACUCAGACAACUUUUAUGCUUCUGCGUGGUUUGUAUAACUCUGCUUGUAUGACUUGAGUGUCGGGUCAUGUGACCCCUGCCUGUAUGAACAUAUUAUGCAAGACUCUUCCGAGUCUUCUAAAUAAAUGUUGUAUUGUUGUAUGGUUAUUUGUGAUGCCAUUUUUGUAUCUAUGCAUAUCGAGUAUGUCAUGCGUACGUGUGAUGCACUAUGAUAUGUAUGGGAUUCGACACCUAGUCAUAUGCCCUUAGUAGCUCUCUAUACAGAGAAAUUCCCCUUUGUGCUUCCAAUGAGCCCUGGUAGUUCGCUACUACUCCGGACACAUUGGUUGACCGGCAUGUAUCCUUCUUUGUUGUUGUGUCUGUCCCUAUGGGGAAAUGUCACGCAGUGUAAUGGAGUCCUUGUAGCUUGCUACGACUCGUCUACACUUGAUGAUGACCGACA
rnacentral:lncRNA from 1 species